GGGGGACUGCUCUAGUCACGUUUGAGUGAUUCCCUAUAUAAGCAACCAAAUUUUUUCCCAAAAAAAGGGGGGGCGGGCCUCUUCCCCCCUAAAUCCACAUCUGCAAGCUAACAAAUUGGAAACUGUACCUACGCCUUAGUAUGUUUUAAGUUUGAAUUUUUAUUAAACUUAAUUUCAUAUGAUAAAGUCAUGCUUUCAGAU
rnacentral:lncRNA from 1 species